AUUCGGUUUCUUAAUUUCAAUCUUACCGUUCCUAAUAAAUAAUAAUCAAAUGGUUUAGUUCAUAUGUUGCUUCCCACACUUUCUGGGUAGAGUGGCUUCCUGCUCUGUCUUUUGGAAAAGAAAUUCCCAACCUCAAAGCUUCCGAUUCGACAGUCUCUGGACCAACAAAAUGGACCAGAGACUUCUUGUGAACGCCAUCACAAAAGAAACUACAGGCUGGAACUGUAAGGUUCAAGUAGUAGAUAGGUUUCGUCCUCGCCAGAGCAAAGACUCCUCCGUCCACUUUCAAACAAUACUCGUGCAAAAUGAAAGCGUAAGUUUUCCUCCCACAGGUUAUUUCAACUACUUAAUGCCCAUUCGGGGUACAUUAUAAUAUUUUCGCUUCCUUAUUCUUGGUGCCGUCUUGGUAGUGAUACGCUUGCUUUCGUUAUGUACAC